rnacentral:rRNA from 1 species
UACGAAGGGGGCUAGCGUUGCUCGGAAUUACUGGGCGUAAAGCGCACGUAGGCGGUCUGUCGCGUCGGCUGUGAAAACUCGGGGCUCAACUCCGAGCUUGCAGUCGAUACGGGCAGGCUAGAGUUCGGCAGGGGAGACUGGAAUUCCUGGUGUAGCGGUGAAAUGCGCAGAUAUCAGGAGGAACACCGGUGGCGAAGGCGGGUCUCUGGGCCGAUACUGACGCUGAGGAGCGAAAGCGUGGGGAGCGAACAGG